rnacentral:rRNA from 1 species
AUUGAACGCUGGCGGCAUGCUUUACACAUGCAAGUCGAACGGUAACAGGGUGCUUGCACCGCUGACGAGUGGCGAACGGGUGAGUAAUGCGUAGGAACGCACCGAGUAAUGGGGGAUAACGCAGCGAAAGCUGUGCUAAUACCGCAUACGCUCUGAGGAGGAAAGCGGGGGACCUUCGGGCCUCGCGUUAUUCGAGCGGCCGACGUCUGAUUAGCUAGUAGGUGAGGUAAGAGCUCACCUAGGCGACGAUCAGUAGCGGGUCUGAGAGGAUGAUCCGCCACACUGGGACUGAGACACGGCCCCGACUCCUACGGGAGGCAGCAGUGGGGAAUUUUGGACAAUGGGCGCAAGCCUGAUCCAGCCAUGCCGCGUGUAUGAAGAAGGCCUUCGGGUUGUAAAGGACUUUUGUCAGGGAGGAAAUCCUUAGCGCUAAUACCGUUGAGGGAUGACAGUACCUGAAGAAUAAGCACCGGCUAACUACGUGCCAGCAGCCGCAGUAC